GAGUUUGAUCAUGGCUCAGAUUGAACGCUGGCGGCAUGCCUUACACAUGCAAGUCGAACGGCAGCACGGGAGCUUGCUCCUGGGUGGCGAGUGGCGAACGGGUGAGUAAUGCAUCGGAACGUAUCCUGGAGUGGGGGAUAACGUAGCGAAAGUUACGCUAAUACCGCAUAUUCUGUGAGCAGGAAAGCGGGGGACCUUCGGGCCUCGCGCUCUUGGAGCGGCCGAUGUCGGAUUAGCUAGUUGGUGAGGUAAAGGCUCACCAAGGCGACGAUCCGUAGCAGGUCUGAGAGGAUGAUCUGCCACACUGGAACUGAGACACGGUCCAGACUCCUACGGGAGGCAGCAGUGGGGAAUUUUGGACAAUGGGGGCAACCCUGAUCCAGCCAUGCCGCGUGAGUGAAGAAGGCCUGGUU
rnacentral:rRNA from 1 species